rnacentral:lncRNA from 1 species
CCGCCUCCCCCUGGACGUCCGCGCCUUUCCUGGCUGGCGUUACAAUCUGCGAUAUAUUAUUUCUUCCAAAGUAUUGACAGUGUGUGAGACUCCGGUAACCCCGGAGCUCUUGUCUGUAAUCAGCACAUUUAUUCACAUUUAGAGGGGAAAAUCCGAAUUAAAUCCCCUUGACCUUGGAUUGGGUUACAGUGUCAUUUUCCCUGGAUCCUCUUCUAAAUCCAGUCCACACUGCCUCUCUGUCUAUUACAUGCUAAUUUAAUUUUACUGUGGACGAUAUUUUCAGCAUUUGCUGAGGACAGUAAAUUUUGUAGUUUAUGUUAUUUCACUUUUUAUGACUUUUUAACACUUAAUAAAAUUUUAUUAGAGCACUUUUGUGUUUACAAGGCCACAAAACUCUUGGCAGGUUGUCAGAAGUCCUUUUUAUUAUGAUCCUACUGAUAUACUGCGAGUAAUGAAAUAAUCAUGUCCAGAAAUGUAUCAAAGGCCAGAGGGAUUAUCCCACUUAAUAGCUCCACAGAUGCGCCCAGAAGGAUGGGGACGCGGGCAGGACGGGCUUCGAGGCUGCAGGAGGAAGGAGUCAGCCCCCGCUUCUUUCUUUACCGUUUCAGUUGCUUUCCUAAAAGGCUACAUCCAGGGUCAUGUGACUUUCCGUGGUCUCAAUAAAAAAAAGAAUUUAUUCUAUUGCAAAAUGUGCUUUUCUUUCUAUUCUCCUUGUGUGGACAUUUAAGGCUGUUCCUAGUGGCAAUGGGGCUGGCUCAGCACAUCCGUUGUCAGUCACUUUCUCUUUUCUAAGUACUUUCUGUGCCAUUUAAGCAGACGAUGGUGACACUGGUGUUAAGCGUGCGACUUCUACAGCCUACACUGCCGGCAUAGGGAGGGACCCAGGAGGUUGCAAGGUGUUUUAAUGUCCUUCCUCUCUUGCCAGCACUACUUUUUGCUCUUGCGUUUUGUUUUGUUUUGUUUUGCAAAAGAGGCAACAGCGAUCUGCAGACUCUGCUUUCUGCCUUGUACCAGAGAGCCACAGUAUAUGUUCGAUCAUGUAACACACUGGUGUUUAGUUCAUUCUUGCUGCGAAAGAAGGCCAUUGUACUUCCUGACCCCAAAAGCAAGGGACGGUGGCUGCUACAUGCAGUUUCAGAUCAAUCUGCUAUCGUCACUGUGCCUGAGACCCAAAUAA